UACGUAGGGGGCGAGCGUUGUCCGGAUUUAUUGGGCGUAAAGAGCGUGUAGGCGGCCAGGUAGGUCUGCUGUGAAAACUCGAGGCUCAACCUCGAGACGUCGGCGGAAACCAUCUGGCUAGAGUCCGGAAGAGGAGAGUGGAAUUCCUGGUGUAGCGGUGAAAUGCGCAGAUAUCAGGAAGAACACCCGUGGCGAAGGCGGCUCUCUGGGACGGUACUGACGCUGAGACGCGAAAGCGUGGGGAGGCGAACAGG
rnacentral:rRNA from 1 species